rnacentral:tRNA from 1 species
GUAUAAAGAAGUAAACUUUACAGCUAAUUUCGGCUUAGCCAAUAGAAAUAAUAUUCUCUUAUAUA